UACAGAGGGUGCAAGCGUUAAUCGGAGUUACUGGGCGUAAAGGGCGCGUAGGCGGUUAUAUAAGUGAGAUGUGAAAACCCUGGGCUUAACCUAGGACGUGCAUCUUAUACUGUGUGACUGGAGUACUGUAGAGGGUAGUGGAAUUUCCGGUGUAGCGGUGAAAUGCGUAGAGAUCGGAAGGAACACCAGUGGCGAAGGCGGCUACCUGGACAGAUACUGACGCUGAGGCGCGAGAGCGUGGGGAGCAAACAGG
rnacentral:rRNA from 1 species